AUAUCAAUAAGCGGAGGAAAAGAAACCAACAGGGAUUGCCUCAGUAACGGCGAGUGAAGCGGCAACAGCUCAAAUUUGAAAUCUGGCUCCUCCGGGGUCCGAGUUGUAAUUUGUAGAAGAUGCUUCGGGUGUGGCUCCGGUCUAAGUUCCUUGGAACAGGACGUCAUAGAGGGUGAGAAUCCCGUAUGUGACUGGCAGCCUUCGCCCAUGUGAAGCUCCUUCGACGAGUCGAGUUGUUUGGGAAUGCAGCUCAAAAUGGGUGGUAAAUUUCAUCUAAAGCUAAAUAUUGGCCAGAGACCGAUAGCGCACAAGUAGAGUGAUCGAAAGAUGAAAAGCACUUUGGAAAGAGAGUUAAACAGUACGUGAAAUUGUUGAAAGGGAAGCGCUUGCAACCAGACUUGCGCGCGGCCGAUCAUCCGGGGUUCUCCCCGGUGCACUCGACCGCGCUCAGGCCAGCAUCGGUUUGGGCGGCUGGAUAAAGGCCCUGGGAAUGUGGCUCCCUUCGGGGAGUGUUAUAGCCCUCUGCGGAAUACCCCCGUGGCGACCGAGGUCCGCGCCCUGCAAGGACGCUGGCGUAAUGGUCAUCAGCGA
rnacentral:rRNA from 1 species